AGUGAACGCUGGCGGUAGGCCUAACACAUGCAAGUCGAACGGCAGCACAGUAAGAGCUUGCUCUUACGGGUGGCGAGUGGCGGACGGGUGAGGAAUACAUCGGAAUCUACUUUUUCGUGGGGGAUAACGUAGGGAAACUUACGCUAAUACCGCAUACGACCUACGGGUGAAAGCAGGGGAUCUUCGGACCUUGCGCGAUUGAAUGAGCCGAUGUCGGAUUAGCUAGUUGGCGGGGUAAAGGCCCACCAAGGCGACGAUCCGUAGCUGGUCUGAGAGGAUGAUCGACCACACUGGAACUGAGACACGGUCCAGACUCCUACGGGAGGCAGCAGUGGGGAAUAUUGGACAAUGGGCGCAAGCCUGAUCCAGCCAUACCGCGUGGGUGAAGAAGGCCUUCGGGUUGUAAAGCCCUUUUGUUGGGAAAGAAAAGCAGCAGGUUAAUACCCCGCUGUUCUGACGGUACCCAAAGAAUAAGCACCGGCUAACUUCGUG
rnacentral:rRNA from 1 species